ACUCCUUACCAGUUGGUGGCGAUAAUGCACCAGCUCGUUGUUUGCCAACCGCCAAUAAACCCUAGAAGAAGAAGCGGAAACACGACUCCCGUACUCUAGUGGUCAAACACUGUAUUAGUUUCACUUUUGAGGAUCAGACUUUCUACCUGAAAAGUCCCUCAGACCCACACUGAAGGAGGGACUCGAGACAUUAUCAUCACAGAUGUCAGAGAUAUCAGAGAUGUGGGCUCUUUUGACCAGUAAACAACCACCCACUCAGAGCACACUAGCAUAGGUGGCUUUACAGAGCUGGAAAUGGAGCAGGAACGGAUAUCUUGAGCAGUCUUCAUGUAUUUGUGUCUGAUCUUUACCAUUAUCAGUGGAAACUUAAGAUGCAGAAGAUCCCGACGGCAGCAACAAUCAACAGAGAUCCAGCAGCAGCAGCAGAGAUCAGCACUAUCAGAGAGACUGAGACUGGAGGAGCUGAAGGAACUGAAGGAGAGGAAAUGAGAGACAGUCAUUAAUCCCGAGCUGGCCCGCUUUGGACCAAGGUAUUUGGCAGGCCAAAAAAAACCUGGCCGUUGGCCCCAAGGAAGCCCCGACGAGGCACUAUCAAGACCCAGAAGUGGUCCUGGCACGCACUAGCACAUUCGCUUUUGGCCCGACAGUGGAAACGCGGCUAUUACAUGAGACAUGAUAUGGAUUUUGGACUGCUACAAAAGCACACACCUCGUCUCAGUUCAAUGUCCAGUCUCAUUUGUGCAAAGUGGAUUACUUACCUGAUUUCCAGCGAUUAUCUCCAGCGUGUCUUCCCUUCUGUCUGCAAACCUGUGGGAAAGGAUUACCUUCAAGCUCACCACGGAAGGAUGAGGUGCAUCCUUCCAUCCAUCCAUCCAUCCAUCCAUCCAUCCGCUUUGCCAUCCAGAGUCCCCUGCACCUGCAAAAGGAAAGUUCUAUUACAAAGUCAUAAUCACUCAACCUAUUUGAACUGAAUACUCACCAAUUUUUGCCAUUCUGCUCAUAAAUAAACGUAAUUAACGUAAUUUCUCUGUGUCUUAGUCUACAUUCCGUAACAGAAGACAAGUCCCAAACAGACAGCAUUAUGAGCUUACCUCAUUCCUUCCAGGAUAUCAUGGAUUCUCUUCAGCGAAUCAUCAUGACAUCUUCUUCCACUUCCACGUCCAUCAUUACCACCACAACUCCUUCACCAAUAGUUGUCGCCAGUCACAUGGUCUAUCUGGCACCCUGGCUUGGCGGAGGAUUGCAACUGAUUCUUUCUUCAGUUCUUGGCCCUGGCAAUGCAGCUGCAUCACUUCACCACCGAGCAAGCCAAGAUAGUGUUCAUCAUCUCCCUGCUGACAGGGUACCAAGAAUGUCAAUGCUGAAUUUGCUGAUGCCCUUUCCCGUCUGCAGAAGAGGUUACUGAAGAAUUUUGCCCAUCCUACCCUCCAUCCAGCCUGUUUAUAAGUCCCUUCCAAUUUGAACUGAUCACCUUCUUUAGUGUCUCCAUCUGCUUCCCAUUCCUAACCACCCAUGGUCACAAUAGUGGACUUCAUUACGGACCUUCCCCCUUCUGAUGGUAACACAUGCAUUCUAGUUGUCAUUGAUCAUAUUUCCAAAUCAUGUCAUCUGCUUCCUCUCAAAGAAGUCCCCUCUGCAAUGGAAACUGCAGAAUUCCAAUCAUGUCUGUAGGUAAUUUGGAAUCCCUGAUACAUAGUAUCCAGAAUCCCUGACAUAGUGUCAGAUCAGUGUCCCCAGUUUAUUCCCAAGGUAUGGAAAGCUUUCUUCACCAUCCUAGGUGUGACUGUGAGUCUCUUCUCAAGAUACCAUACCCAGUCAAAUGGGCAGAUGUAGAGAGAUAUCCAGGGGACUGGACGUUUCUUACGAACCUUCUGCCAAGGUCACCAGAACUCUUGAAACCAGUUCCUAGGCUGAGCUGAGUACUCACAGAACUCCCUCUGUCUGCCUGCCACCAGACUCAAUUAAUCACUUAAUUAUCUCAUUAUCACAGUCGGAGAUGUAUUUAAAAAUAUCCUUAGUCUUCCAAUCUUUAUAAUGGUUGUGAAUGUGAAUGGCUGUAUAUUAAUAUGUAACUUGCUUUAUAUUAUUGUAUAUUUCUCUGGUUAAUUAAAAAAAAGAGAGAGCAAAACAAAACACCUGUCAUGAAUCAGAAGUCUAAAAUGGCAAAAGAAGAAGCAGACGCGUAGUAUUCAUUUUUCAUUUUUUGUAUUCAGAAUUUGGGCUGCCAUUCACAACCAUUAUUAAGCUUGGAGAACUACGGAUAUUUUUAAAUAUAUCUCCGAUUGUGUUCCUCUGAAAGAAGAUAGUCAUAUACACCUAGGAUGGCUUGAGGGUGAGUAAAUCAUGGGAUAAUUUUCAUUUUUGGGUAAACUAUCCCUUUAACACUGCUUCAGUGUUCAUUUAACACAGUGUUCACUUAUUUUAACACUUUUGACACACUCUUGAGUAUGGUCUUAUAUACUCCCAGGAGAGUUAAUUUAACACUGGAGUUUUUGCUGUGAAGGAUGUUAUUAACACCCAACUGACAUUAUGAAGUGAGUUUGGAGUAAAAACAUGUUAUGAAAUGUUGUCUUUUGUUGGACAAGUGCUUCUGCUUCUCAUGUUUGGAAAGAUGUUUGACGCAUGUUGCUUUUUCAAAUGCACGUAAUGUCACUUUGUAAAAAAGACUAAGCGUGUGCACACAUACACAUUCAAACGCACAAACCUAUAGACUAAACAUGUAAAUGAAUGGCAAGAAUGCAUUAAAAGUCUUCUGUUUUCAGUUAAAAGGGUAAUUUAAUCAGUCCCUAAGUUAUAAUAAUAAUAAUAGAUUUUUACAACGGAAGUGAUUGAAAACUUACUUUAGCUCGAUAAUAACUUUUUCCUAGAGCUGCUGUAAAGCCAAAACAAUCUCUGUCCAUUCAUUUUCCUAUUAUCACUGUGAAGCUGCUUUGAAACAAUCUGUAUUGUCAAAAGUGCAAUAUAAAUGAAGAUGACUUGACUAUAAUUUAAUCAUUCACUGCAUUUUCCUUUGAGGAACGUUAAAAUAUAGCUGAAUAUUUAUAAAUCUGUCAAUGAAGAUGUGAGCUUUGACUCCGUAUUAAAAGAUAAUGAAGAUCAUCUCUAUCACCUUCACAUGCACAUCAGGUUAACACAGUUUUCACAUUUCAUGUAUGUCAUGUGACUUUUACAAUUGUCUGAUGCAUGGUUGUAAUGUUUUGGUGGAGGUGGAAUGAAGGCAUACAGCAGAAGGAGUGAGAAUCCAAAGUUUAAUAAUGCAGUUUAAUAAUAGUUAUAAUCCAAAGUCUUAGUCCAUACCAGGCAGAGAGUCAAGCACAUUUAAUCAUACACUACAUGAAGGGCAGACAGGAACAAGGAAUCCACAACUCAGGAAUAACAAAAAGAACACCAGAACUGCUCAAAAUACCAACAGAAAAUAACAACCAAAACCAACAAGACUUCAUAAAGAAUACAGGGCAAAAGGCAUUAAAUAGACAGGGUAAUAAAUGAAAACAAGACAGAGCUGAAACAGGUUAACUAAUAAUGAGCAGGGGAUACUGGGAAAUGAAGUCCUGGAAUAGAGUCUAUGGAAACAAUGAAGGACGAGGCUGCCAUCUGCUGGUACUUAAGUGUACCGCAGCUGACAGAUGUAACAGUAGUGCUUUAAUGUUGUUUUGGCUGCUUAUAUUCAAAAUCCACCAGAUGGCGCCACUAAAAAAGCAAUGACAGAAUAAAGACAUUUUAUUCUAAUAACUCAAGUAAUCUGUUUCAUUGAGUUUGUUAUUAUUAUUAUUAUUAUUAUUAACAGGCAUCAGUACAGUGAUCAGUUGGGUCUGUCUUUUUUUUAGUUUAUUAUGUUGUUUUUCAGCUCUUCCUCUGUGAGAACAGCAGCAUCAUAGUGCAUCCUAUCGUGUAAAAGUAGCAAUAUUCAUAGAGAGAUGUGAUUCGUUUUUGGGGGGGAUAUUUGCAUACACCGCUGCCUCCUUUGAUUUCUGCAGUCAAUCAGUAAACUGCUGAUACACUCACGUUGUUACUCUUGCAGCUCAUAACUGAAACCUGCUGCGGUUGUUUUUCUUAAGAGAUGUGGUUUGAUCUGUUGUUAGUCUCUGUCUCUAAGCUUUCUUUGGCUGUCAUUUCUUCUUCUGAAUCAGUUGUUUUGUUGUUCACUGAAGUACUCUCUCUGUUUUAGAUCCUAUCUUUGUGGUCUUCAUCAUUCCUGCUGCAGGCAUCUUGACUAGGAGGACUGGUCCCCC